GUUUAAAUUCAAAAUCUUGAAACCUAGCUACAAAAGUAAAUAUAAUGUCUUAACCAAUCCUCUAAAUUGGAUCACUCCUCUCUUAGUUGAUAAGGUAGCACUCAUGUCACAUUUUGCUCUAUAACUAAAAUGUAAUAGAAGAAAAACAUGAAAUCAAUCUAAGUUCUAACAGAAAUCUCUCUAAUUUUUCUUACUUUUUCUCCCUUCAAACUCGAGGAUUUACAGCCUAAAAAAGAUGCUUCUGUUUACUCCAAUCUGGUGAUCUAACCCUGCGGUAAGCUUGAAAUUACCGACUCUUUUUAAGAUUAAUACUUCUUUUUUCCCCAGAAAAAACUUAUCCUUAUACAGUCUUACCAAAAAACAGAGCUUCUGCAAUGCCCCUGCCAUAUAUUUUUUUUAUGUUGAAUCUUAAAUCACUUGACAGUCUAAUUCUUCUCUGAAACUCACCAACACAGAAACAAAUCCAUAUAAUUCCGCAACAUAUAUUCGCUUUAUAAAAAAACAAAUGGACUAAACAAUGAUUCAAUUCUAGAAUUAAUAUCCGAGAAGAAACGAGCUAAAGCUCAAUUUUGCAAUAAAA
rnacentral:misc_RNA from 1 species